rnacentral:rRNA from 1 species
GACGAGCCACACAAACGUUAUUCGGAAUUACUGGGCUUAAAGGGUGCGUAGGCGGCGCGGUAAGUGGGGUGUGAAAUCCCUCAGCUCAACUGAGGAACUGCGCUCCAAACUACCGUGCUUGAGUGAGACAGAGGUAAGCGGAACUUCGGGUGGAACGGUGAAAUGUGUUGAUAUCCGAAGGAACACCGGUGGCGAAAGCGGCUUACUGGGUCUCAACUGACGCUGAUGCACGAAAGCUAGGGUAGCAAACGGG